AGGGACAGCCCCAGGAUCUUCAUCGCGUUCCGGAUGGAGCGGAUCAGGUUGGACAGCUCCUCGUACCUGGGACAGGUGAGAUGGGACAGGUGAGGGGUCAAUGACAGGUUAUUGGGGUCAAUGACAGGUUAUUGGGGUCAAUGACAGGUUAUUGGGGUCA